UCUGGCCUUAUUUCCUUCCUUCUUCAUACACACCGCAAAAAAAAAAAAAAAAAAAAAAGGAUGCGAAGGAAACGUCACGUGAUGUUUCUCAUUAUUCCGCCGUCUAAGCCUGGACAUCAUUUCGAACGCUUAGAUAAUUUGCCUUCUUUCUAGAAAUAAGCCAUAAUAUAAUAACAGGUGUUCGAGUAAGCUUAGAUCUGUCUAAGAGCGAGAGCAAUGUUAUAAUAUUAGAAGGUGUCUGAAUUCAUGAUGCUGAGACAGUUUACAGUAACAGAACGUGAAUAAUCCUGCACUAAUACCUGAAUGAAUACUUCCUUAAAUAUGAACUAAUGGUAAGCUAAGGCGUGUACUAAUCACGGACGGUUGAAGAGUUAACCUUAACCUUAUUAUGUUAUGAAUCCUUACGUGGAUAACAGACAUGUACAUGUUUCUCAGAUAGCGUCUUGAUCGACUAACGUGCCCUGUAAGAAAGAAUACGAAUUCAACGCGCAUCAUUCCAAACGGUUGAUAUCGUUUGCCGUCUGCAGCUGAAAGUUUACAGGAUGGCGCUGGAUUCCUCUCGUUACGCUUCAGGAACGGUUCGAAAUGAUGCACGUUCGACUCGUAUUCUUUCUUAGAGAGCACGUUUGAUUGAGUUUACCCUUACGAGUUAACGAAUACAUUAACCAACAGACAUGUAGUAAGUUGGUGGUUGUUAUUCACGCACGCAUGAAUUCAUAAGACUCACGUGGUUGAGGUUAAAGUCAACGUUAGCUCUUCGUUAGGUCGUGAUUAGUACGUGCCUUAACUCAGGGGUUCUCAAACUUUUCCAGGGCAAGGCAUCCCCAAACGGCAUUAACAUUUGACCGUGGCCCCCCAUUUUGAAAGAUGUCUUUAUAAUACAGACUUCUGAAUAUAUCCCACUUUUUAUUUAUUUAUUUAUUUUUAUUAAUAAUUACAUCUUACAUCUUUACAUUACAUUACAUUAGGAAUAUAUUGUGUGUGUGUGUGUGUGUGUGUGUGUGUGUGUGUGUGUGUGUGUGGUUGUCUGAGAGUGAGAAAGAGAAAACAUACUAGUGGGAGGGAUGGGCACACCAAAUUGUUGAGGCCCCCCGGGCGCCCCCUGGUGGCCACCACUUUGAAAACCACUGCCUUAACUCAUCAUCAGUUCAUAGUUGAAUAAGUAUUCAUUCAGUUAUUAGUGCAGUUAUUAGUGCACUUGGACGUUAUUCACGUCCAAGUGUUACCGGAUGUUUUUUUUGUUGUUGUUGUUGUUCCAAUGUUUAGAAUCCUUUCUAGAAAAUAUGUUAGUGCUGUUUUAUUAUCCGUUUAAAACAUCAUAAUCACCUUAAUCAGCAGGGGUUUUUUUUUUUUUAGGAGUCCAUAAUCAUCUCAUUCAUUCAUCUUGUCUUUCACCACAACAGUCUCUCAUCUAUCAUUGCGCACUUCCAUCCUCGCUGUCCUUGUCUCUACGUUUUAUCGCGAUCUCGCUCGUAGGUGCGAAGUUUCCUCAGGCUCGUCCAGUAAACCAACGAAGAGAAUGAGUACGAAGAAUGAGUACGAAGAACGAGUACGCGAACGUCUGGUGGAGCAAGGCGUGUUUUAAUACUGAAAGGAACCCGUCAUCCUUAGUGUCCACGCCAUCUUUAGUGUACACCUGUCAUUACCAUGGCGAUGAACUGAAACUAGAACUUUUCUCUGCGCCGUGAGCAGAAACGGAGGGAACACGUCUGUAGGUCACUCGGGAUAAGGGCGUCUGUGAACUGCCGCGAACGUCAACGUAAACGUCAUAGAACGGAAUGGAACGAGUGUCGUGGAAAGAACGAGGAACGAGGGGAACGGAACAGAACAAAGAGAACACAAGGGGGGCGGGUGGGGUGGUGGGGGGGUCCAGAACAAUAAGAACAGGAUUUAAAUAAAAAAAAGAGAAGGAAAAAAAAACAAAAAAACAGAACAGAACAUGAAGAAGAAAGAAUGAGACAAGGAGAAUGGAGAGCAACAGAGAGAACAGAAUUAAAAAGAAGAGUACGAUGUGAAAGGAAUGAGGGGGGAAACGAAAAAGAACGGAACGGAACAAAAGGGGCAGGAUCAAAGAGAGAGGGGGGAAAAAAAGAGGAGAAAAAAAAAAAAACAGAACAGAACAUGAACAAGAAAAGUCUUUCUUACCAAGAAUGGAAAGGAACUGAAAGAGCAGAAUGAAAAGAACAAAGAGGAAAGAUGGAAAUCGAAUGAAGGGAACAGAACAGAAAGAAUGGAGCAAAAAGAACAUAAUGAGAAAAAGAGGAAUGGAACAGAACGGAAAGAGUGGAAGAGGUAAUUCACUUUCCUCUGUGAGAGAGGGUUUCUGUUCUUUCCUCACUACAUGGAAAUGUGCGGCAAUAUUUGUUUGUGGUACAUUUACAUUGACAUUUAGGGCACAUGGCAGACGCCCUUAUCCAGAGAGACGUACAUUUAUCUCAUUUACUCUAUACAACUGCGCAACUGAGGGUUAAGGGCCUUGCCCAAGGGCCCAGCAGUGGCAGCUUGGCAGUAGUAACCCCUGACCUUCUGAUCAGUAACCCAGAGCCUUUAACCACUGAGCCACCUAGAGACUCCUAGAGAUCCCGAGCACCGAAUUCAUUCGAAUCUCGCGGAUUACAUCAGACGCGUUCUGUAAACCUCGACGACCGUGAAGUUAAGCGUGCCGAACGUGUGAUGUACGAUAACGUGGAUUAGCGAGACCGGCGUGCACCGCAAGAAGGUCAGAAAGGGUGGGAGACUAGGUUAGGUGGAGAUUGAGGUCGCCUGUGAGAGGAUAAGAGCUACCCGAGAGCCUACGACACGUCCGUAAACACGCACGGAAAGCUGCUCAGUCGCUCGUGACGUGCGGAGAGUAACAUCGGCGUCCGAGUUUAGAAGAAGAAGACAGAGAUGCAUCCUCUCAUGGUCGCCAUCAUAACAACCAACACGUCGCUGUCGGUGAUUCUGUGGAACUUCCUGCUGUCCCAGGUGUUCUGCAAGAAGAUUAAAGACGCACCCAGAUCUGAGGAGGUCGUGCCUGUCUGAACUGGCUACUCGGCCCUGACCCCGAGGAGAAUGAGGAGGAAGAGGACGUGGUGGAGUCGUCUGGACAGGAAGACCGGACUGGAGCAGCAGAGCGGAAAGGCAAACAGGAAGAGAACCACAAAGCCACCGGCGUAGACGAGAACAGUCCGGGACUUAGACUUUCAUUAAUAACCUAAAAACACCGAAAACACCACGAGAACCGACCGCUUUCAGAUCUCUCUCGUUCCCAAACUCGUUCAUUUUCGUCCAUGUGCGUUUAAUCAUUCGACCGUCAGUGUAAAAUGUCGUCUGUCCUAUAAACCGUACUUUUGAAGUAGUUCGCGUGAAACUAGAUCCGUCUAGAACUUUUAAGACGUUUAAGAAAGCGAUCGCAUUCGAAACCAAGUAAUACUUUCCUAUAACAUCCACAACUCCACAAAUAAGCAUUACCCUAUACUAUACUAACUUAAUUAACGACAAAUUAAUAAUCUACUAAUCCUCAGUACAUGAGGAACUAAAGAUGUGUAUAGAUUACCAACCCACUGUAGCCAUUAAUACAGUCGUGAAGCGUUAACAUCUUGUUAACGUAUUCUGUUAAUCCAGCGGUUUUCAAAGUGGGGGCCGCGGUCCCCUUGGUGGCCGCCAGGGGGCGCCCGGGGGGCCUCAACAAUUUGGUGUGAAAAAUAAAUAAAUGUAUGUUUUCUCUUUCUCACGCUCAGACACACACACACACACACACACACACACACACACACACACACACACACACAGACACACAAUCAAUUCCUAAUGUAAUGUAAAGUUGUAAGAUGUAAUUAUUAAUUUAAAAAAAAAAGGGGGGAUAUAUGCAGAAGUCUGUAUUUUUAAUGUGUUUUAAAGACAUCUUGCAAAACGGCGGCCUCGGUCAAAUUUGAAUGCAUUUUGGGGGGCCUUGCCCUGGAAAAGUUUGGGAACCCCUGUGUUAAUCAAUAUCACAGCUUACGCGUGGCUUUGUGGAAUUUAUAUGACCAAAUAUAAAAUAUUACCAAAAACACUGUGGCGUAGUGUAGUGAUUAAGAACGCCUCUUUAUCAGUUCUACAUGACGUUUACGUUAAAUACAGUGAAUUAGCUACGGUUUGAACAAACGGAUUGUGCGUUACGGCUAAGCCGUGUACGUAAAGCUUAAAAAGCUUAAUAGUAAUGUUUUGUGAAUAAUUUGCAUACUAACUAUAGCCAAUCAUCUCGAUUUGAUCCACGAGUGACGUUUUGUGGACGAUAAACUACGUAUAAGUAGAAAAUGUAACGGAUUAAAUAGCUAACUUGUGCGCUAGGUUAUAUGUGGUACCGUUUCCCAUUGCUCGAACUGAAUUAACAGUCAUGCUAACUAUUUUAUUUCUCAAUUUAUGUUCGAACAAGGUUACAAGCUAGAACCAUGCUAGUCGUCAGUUUCGUACCUUGUUGUUGUUGUUGUUGUUGUUGUUUUCCUUUGAUUUAUUCUCUCAAGAACGUAAAGGCAUGAUCAAUCGACGCCGCUGUUCGAUAUUUCCGCUCUAGCGCAUGCAAUAAAUACAUAACUUUU